rnacentral:tRNA from 1 species
GGUGGGGUGGCCGAGCGGUUGAAGGCACCGGUCUUGAAAACCGGCGUGCGGGAAACUGUACCGUGGGUUCGAAUCCCACCCCCACCG